ACUAUACUAAUGGAACACCAGCUUCGAGAUUUUAUGAUCAGAGUGCCGUCGCGCAUCUUUUUUCGCGCACCAUACCAAUUUGAAAAAUCGAUGAGGAUGCCAAAGAAGAAAUUUACUCCGAGAGCCACUUGGAUUGACCUUCAUUGAGAGUAAAACUUCCCCACACUAUAUUUUAUUAGAUCUGUAAAAACUUUAUCCAUUUUCUGACUAUCUGAUAAAAUAGAUACAAUUUCCCUGAAUAAUGGAUCGUCACAAAAGAUUUUUUUUUUAAGGCCACUUCAUUAAAAUAGGUGUUUCCAGUACUUCCUCAUUUGGGUAUUUUACACAAAAUCUGGAUUUUUUUAUGUACAUGUCAUUUUUAUCAUCUGUCCCGCGCAACCAAACCAUCCACUUUUCCCGGUCACCAAUGUUCUUAACAAGAUAUCAAGAGAGAGAGGCUGGUCCAUUAUUUGCGUAGUCCAGUUAGCUUUUUUUUUUUACAACCUUUUUUCGUUCUCUCUCAUGAAGGAUAUGUUUUGAAAAUUAGUCUUACAAAAUACAAUUCCAAAACAACUCAUGCAGUUAUCGUCUUUUCACAGUAUUGAGGAGUCAUCCUUUUUGCUAGCCAGAGUGUUAAUUGGCAAAAGUGAAAAAUUCAUUUUCUUUAAUUUUUUAAAUUAUUAACAAGUAGAACCAUGGCAACCAGUUCUGAUGAUGUACCAGAAUGGUUCAAGGAUCAUACUUAUACUAUUUCUACUCUCUGGGCAUCCAUUCAAUAUUUAAUUUAUGUUUGGAAAUGCAAGAAAAAGGCAUGCAUUCCUGAAAAGUCAAUGAUUGGUUGCACCUCUUAAAGAUAACUUUCUGUUAUGAGAAAAGAUGAGAUUCUUGGACUCCUGCAUAGCACCACCAGAAAGGAAAAUCCCAUCAUGUUGCAAAAUAAAAGUCUUGGACCAAUUUUAAUUUAAGAUAUAUAUAUUAUACUGUAAGCUGUAUACAUAUUUAUGUAUAUCCUGUCAUUCAGCCAACAGGUUUGGAUUUAGUAUUUCUUUAAAUCUGUUUGAUAUUGUACUUGAAAGCUAUUAAUCUGAGCCCCAUUAAAACAAGAGGGAGUGCAGUGGAUGAGUGGUAAGGGAAAUUUUACUUUUUUUAAAUUAAAAUAAGAAUCUAACAAAAGUAAACAUAUAAAAUUUGGUGCAUUCUCCUUAAAACUAAAACCUGGUGCAAAGGUUUAAAAUGUUGGCAAAAAAAAAAGCAACAUCAAUUAAAUAUUCUUAAUUCCCUUUGCAAAACUUACUGAGAAGAACAUGCAUGUUGUUCCCUCAUAAGUUUCUUGACAGAGGAAAUCUUGUUUAUAUUAGAUUUGAAUUAAGCGAAUUAAGAAAAAAAUUAUAAUCAUUAUUUCAAAUGGUUGUAUCUAAACCUUAUGAAUUAUUUUUCAGUUAUAAGUAUAUUGAAAUGAAUUGAUA